rnacentral:rRNA from 1 species
CUCGGCAAAUUAUCCUCAUAAGUUCAACGAUAAGAGGUACCUUUUUUUAAAUAGAAAUAUUUAAUAUAGGUGGCACAGAAUCGGAGGCCACGACUGUUUACUAAAAACACAACACAGUGCAAUCAUUAAUGUGAUAGUAUACUGUGUGAAAUUUGCCCAAUGCCAUUAAUAUAAGAACAAUCACGGAAUUUCAAACUGUGAUUUAUCGAAAAUCUGGUUAAUAGCGGUCUUAACUAUGAGGAUCCUAAGGUAGCAAAAUCAAUUGGCCAUUAAAUGUGGUCGAGUAUCAAUAAUGUAACGAUGGUCUCACUGUCUCUACAACUUGCUCAGUGAAAUUGAAUUACGCGUGCAGAUGCGCGUUACCACCAGGGGGACGGGAAGACCCUAUGCAGCUUCUACUG